ACAUGAUGUCGUUCUGACACUGCAGGGGUAGCCUGUUUUCCCUCUUUCUGCCUAUAUAAUACAUCACAAACAAGGAGCAGAAAUAGGGCAACAGAAUUCUGUGUUCCCAGAAACGCCGGAGAGGGAGGGUAAAAGGAAGUAAAAUUACAGUAAUUUAGAUUCUCUUCAAAAACUCCAGUCCUGUCUCAACUCAGAGCACAAGGCCAUGGGGCACCUCUCUGUAGAGUCCCUAGGUGCAUCGGAGUGCUGGAUGGCAGGGAGGGAGGCAGGACACAGCAUGGAGCUGAGGUAUGGAAGGCUGAAGAACUGCUCUCAAAUCCGCUGCCUGCUGGCUCCGGGACAGGGCACUGCCUUGGCUGGGUUCCAGCUCUGCCGCCACUGGGUUUUGCUGCCUGACCUAUGGGGCUUUUUCCCACCCCUCUCCUUCCAGGUGCAGUAACAAAAAUUUGUUCUCAGCUUCUACUCUGCUCACUUUUUAUUCUUUGCCUUAUUUUUUUCUUUCCACAUUUCUUUUUAUUGGUGCAUUACAAUUGUACAUAAUGAUGGGCUUUGUUGUUGCAUAUUCAUACAUUAUUCUUUGCUUUUUACAAAUCAUGAGCUUAGAAAAACUAUCGGCCCACAGACAAGCUGGUGGGUGGCUCAAGUACUCCAAAUGAGAGCUUUAAACUCGCAAAGUGCCUAAGACAGUGCCCCCCCACACAAGAAACAUUCAUGAAGAACCAGCUGACAUUCCCGCUGCUGCUGAACCAGCUUUGGCUCCACUACUUACCGUGUGAUUGGCAGGCAACCACGCCUGGCUUUCCCAGCCUGUUGUGCUCACCGAAAUAACACUUUACAAUUAAUUUCUCAGCGAAAUACAAAUAAUUAGUAACUGUAGGCAAAUAACACAUUUACUUUAAGGUUGUUUGAAGAUUAAAACUGACAGGUGUCACUGGAAACAGUACAUGAAAACCACAAAAUGACUUUCAAAUGCAAGGCUCCAGGCUGAUAAUCACUCUACACUGAUGACUUCAGGCAUCACUCAGAGUGACUGCUGUCCCUGAGGAUGACUUCAGAUGACCUGACAUCUCCCUGAAGCUUCGUCCUACUCCCCACUUCUUAUGAGUGGAAAGAAUACAUCAGAUGGGGACUACUAUGUAGGAAAAGGGAAAGAUGUCAACGAUUGAGUCAAUGCAGAAGCAACCAUGUAAAUCAGCAGACCAGACAUCUAAGGCAGUGGUCCAGAUGUGGACUGGGAUAAGAACAGGGAGACAAACCCCUAGACAACCCCAGGUCAGUUGGGUUCUUUAAAUUACAAGAGUGAACAAAGCCAAACACAAAAGAAAUCCUACCCAAGGGGAGCUGAAGUUCUCACAGCUACACCUGCAACUGUCUUGGUGACGGGACCUUUACCUUAUGACAAUGACAACAUAAUAAGGACAAAAUGCAAAUUAAACUAUAACUGGAUGCAACUCACACCCAAUGCAGUCAGCUCACCUUGUGGGAGGUCUCGGGAGGCGUCCAGAAGGGGCAUGUGUGUCUUGUGUGAUGGAUGAAAGGAAAGAAUCUGCACUUCACAUGGAGAGUGAACUCAAGCCUGUGCGCUCAAGAGAGCUCUUGGUCCACAUGGUCAGGUCGUGGCCAGUAGUAAGCCACACCGAUAUAUACCCACAGGGUCUCGCCAUGAAAGGCACCCCAGAAAGGAGGAAGCCUGGCCAAGGACAGAUUCUUACUUUCCUGGGGUCCUGUGGGAGAUCUGAGCUAGUAGGGCAGCCCAUCUCUGAACUAUGCCCCUGCUCCUACAUCCCCUGGAAUGUGGGGUCUGUGCAGAGAAGCAGAGUCAACACCUCCUGCCUGUAUGGAAGCUGUUCCAUGUCACAUAUUCAAGGUGCCAAACGAUACUGAUUGCCUCCCUGAAAACUCUGCUGCUGGUGAAUUCCCGUUUCAGAUGCAUCGUUAACAUCUCCUGUCACUUCACUGCCAUCAGACAUCAUUUCCCCCCAGAUCUGCAGUCACCAAGACAAUCAUCUUAUUCUUAAAGUCCCAUGCAUCUUUGCACUCAUACUCCUAUUACCAUCUUUUCUCCAGAGCACAGAUAUUGCUUUGGAAUUAGCGGUCCUCACCAGUCUAUCCUCCCCAACACUAAUUCACACCCUCCAAUCCCUUUGAAGCGAUUUUGUUAGAUUAAUGCUCUAAAAAUAUAUUUUUUUAAAGUGCUGGGAACUGAACCCACAACCACAUGUGUGCAAAAUACACACUCAACCAUUAUACCUCUUGCCCUAAAACUUUACUGCUGGAACUGCUGUCACCACUGUCUAAUUAUGUGGCCUCUUUUUCCCCAAAAUAAAACCAAAAUUUUAAACAGA